rnacentral:rRNA from 1 species
CCCUUAGAUGUUCUGGGCCGCACGCGUGCUACACUGAGUGGAUCAGCGGGUCAGGUUGCGCGAAAGCGUUUCCUAAUCUUUAAAUCCGCUCGUGAUGGGGAUUGACGGUUGCAAUUUUCUGUCAUGAACGAGGAAUACCUUGUAAGCGCGGGUCAUCAUCCCGCGCUGAAUACGUCCCUGCCCUUUGUACACACCGCCCGUCGCUCCUACCGAUUGAAUGGUUCAGUGAGAUAAUCGGACAGAAAACUUGGCAACUGGCAACAGUUGACGUGCAUUUUUGGAAGACGAUCAAACUUGGUCAUUUAGAGGAAGUAAAAGUCGUAACA